rnacentral:lncRNA from 1 species
AAAAAGUAAUGGAAAUUGAGGGAAGAAGGAAAAGAGAACAGAAUAUAGCCCAUAGGAAAAGCAUACCAGAAAGAACUAGGCAGAACCAUUAUCAGAUCUAUUCAUUUGUUCAUUCACUCUAUGUUUCUUAAGAACCUGCCAUAUGCCAAGAACCAUGCCAAACACUAAGAAGUGCAACAAUGCACUGAAAAUUGUCCUUGAGAUAUUACUAUUUGAUUGGAAAAGACAGACAAAAAUAAUGAAAAAGUGGUAAGUUCAUAAUAAAAGUGUCACAAGAAAGCAUAAUAUGACUUCUAAACUUUUUAGAAAGGGAAAUUAGACAUAUAGUUUUUAAGUGUCUUCCAAGAAUGAAUUUCUAUGCCUCCAUUUAAUUGAUAUCUUUGGCGAUUAGUAGAUUUUAUGUUUUAUUUUCAUGUGCCUUUUCCAGAGAUAAUCUGGGAUAUUUUGCAAGAUUUCUAAAAAAUUAAUCCUUUUAUCAGGAAAAUUUUAAGACAAAUUCUAUGAAUCUGUUUAAGAAAAGGAGAAAAUUAGUGCCAUAUAUAACAGACUACAGAAUAAAUAUUUGGAAGCAGAAAUAUUUUAUUAACCACCUUUACUAUCUGACUCCUUGCAAAAUGUGAAUUAGUAUGAACUUUUUGUGGUAUCUAAAAUAUGUUGUGAGUUUCACAGUCAGCUUUCUCUGGCUGAACAAUUUUCAUGAUACCAAGAGGCUAGACAUUUUUUGAUAACUAUUUUAUGCAUUGGAACAAUGCUUUUCACUGACUAUGGCAAUAACCAGUUUUAUUGUUUUUGCAGUCCAUCACAGAGCCUGUUUUUUUGUUGUUGUUGUUUUGUUUUUGUUGUUGUGGUUAUUGUUUUUUGAGAUGGGAAUUUCCACUAAAUUGUCCAAGCUGGCCUCAAACUCUGGAUCCUCUUGCCUUAGCCUCCUGAAUAGCUGGGAUUACAGGUGUGCAC